GUGGGGAAUUUUGGACAAUGGGGGAAACCCUGAUCCAGCGACGCCGCGUGAAGGAUGAAGGCCUUCGGGUUGUAAACUUCUUUUGGAGGGGACGAAUAAAUUGACGGUACCCUCAGAAAAAGCCACGGCUAACUACGUGCCAGCAGCCGCGGUAAUACGUAGGUGGCGAGCGUUACUCGGAAUUACUAGGCGUAAAGUGUAUGUAGGCGGUUGUAUAAGUCUAUGGUGAAAUUUCCUGGGUCAACUGGGAAGGGACAUAGGUACUGUAUGGUUUGAGUGUUGGAGGGGGAGACGGAAUUCCUGGUGUAGGGGUGAAAUGCGUAGAUAUCAGGAAGAACAACGAUGGCGAAAGCAGUCUCCUGGCCAAAUACUGACGCUGAGGUACGAAAGCUAGGGUAGCAAACAGGAUUAGAUACCCGUGUAGUCC
rnacentral:rRNA from 1 species